AACGAACGCUGGCGGCAUGCCUAACACAUGCAAGUCGAACGAGACCUUCGGGUCUAGUGGCGCACGGGUGCGUAACGCGUGGGAACCUGCCCUUAGGUUCGGAAUAACUCCCCGAAAGGGGUGCUAAUACCGGAUAAUGUCUUCGGACCAAAGAUUUAUCGCCUUUGGAUGGGCCCGCGUUGGAUUAGCUAGUUGGUAGGGUAAAAGCCUACCAAGGCGACGAUCCAUAGCUGGUCUGAGAGGAUGAUCAGCCACACUGGGACUGAGACACGGCCCAGACUCCUACGGGAGGCAGCAGGGGGGAAUUUUGAACAAUGGGCGAAAGCCGAACCAAGCAAUGCCGGGGGAGUGAUGAAGGCCUUAGGGUUGUAAAGCUCUUUUACCCGGGAUGAUAAUGACAGUACCGGGGGAAUAAGCCCCGGCUAACUCCUG
rnacentral:rRNA from 1 species